rnacentral:rRNA from 1 species
UACGGAGGGUGCGAGCGUUAAUCGGAAUAACUGGGCGUAAAGGGCAUGUAGGUGGUAAAUUAAGUCAGAUGUGAAAGCCUUGGGCUUAACCUAAGAACUGCAUUUGAUACUGGUGAGCUAGAGUACUGUAGAGGUGGGUGGAAUUUCAGGUGUAGCGGUGAAAUGCGUAGAGAUCUGAAGGAAUAUCAGUGGCGAAGGCGACCCUCUGGACAGAUACUGACACUGAGAUGCGAAAGCGUGGGGAGCAAACAGG